CCUAAUAAACAAUGACAUCGAUGGAUUGCAAUAUAUUACUGAAAGUGCUGAAAACCGGAUGGUCAUUGCCAGUAACAUUUUGAGAUGGUCAGAUGAUAUAGCUAAUGCUUAUGCUGUAUGUGGAACUAAGAAAGAAAAGUCCAACACAAAAUGGAUUGGCUGUGACGUGUGCCAUCGCUGGUUCCAUGAUGCCUGCUUAGAUGCUAGACUAGCAGAGGGAGCUCUCUUGCAAAGUGAAAAAUGGAAAUGCAUAGCGUGCACAGAACAAUGCGACAAGAAGAGUACUGAGGCAUAUAUUUAAAGUAUUGAUGCACAUUUUUCAUAUUUGCAGACCGUGGAUUAGCAUAGGAUCUAAAGACUUACAGCAUGCAUUUUUCUUUCUGUUCACACGAAUUUCUCAAGCAUUGUAUUAAGACUUGCUGUAUAAGCAACAUAUUUGGGCAUCAACAAACAUGCCAUUUCUAUAUAAAUUCUCUACAUUUUAGAAAACGUUUUGUUUGUUUAGUUUUAGGAAUAUCAUCACGUUUCAAAGUAAAACCUGGCGUUUAUUAUUAUUAUUAUUAUUAUUAUUAUUAUUAUUAUUAUUAUUAUUAUUAUUAUUAGUCGUAGUACUCGUAGUACUUUUCUUGCUGUUCUU